UACGGGGGGGGGUAAGCGUUGUUCGGAAUUACUGGGCGUAAAGGGCUCGUAGGCGGCCAACUAAGUCAUACGUGAAAUCCCUCAGCUUAACUGGGGAACUGCGUGUGAUACUGGAUGGCUUGGAUUGGGAGAGGGAUGCGGAAUUCCAGGUGUAGCGGUGAAAUGCGUAGAUAUCUGGAGGAACACCGGUGGCGAAGGCGGCAUCCUGGACCAAUAUUGACGCUGAGGAGCGAAAGCCCAGGGGAGCAAAGCGGG
rnacentral:rRNA from 1 species